UAGGGAAUCUUCGGCNNUGGACGGAAGUCUGACCGAGCAACGCCGCGUGAGUGAAGAAGGUUUUCGGAUCGUAAAGCUCUGUUGUAAGAGAAGAACGAGUGUGAGAGUGGAAAGUUCACACUGUGACGGUAUCUUACCAGAAAGGGACGGCUAACUACGUGCCAGCAGCCGCGGUAAUACGUAGGUCCCGAGCGUUGUCCGGAUUUAUUGGGCGUAAAGCGAGCGCAGGCGGUUAGAUAAGUCUGAAGUUAAAGGCUGUGGCUUAACCAUAGUAGGCUUUGGAAACUGUUUAACUUGAGUGCAAGAGGGGAGAGUGGAAUUCCAUGUGUAGCGGUGAAAUGCGUAGAUAUAUGGAGGAACACCGGUGGCGAAAGCGGCUCUCUGGCUUGUAACUGACGCUGAGGCUCGAAAGCGUGGGGAGCAAACAGGAUUAGAUACCCUGGUAGUCCACGCUGUAAACGAUGAGUGCUAGGUGUUAGACCCUUUCCGGGGUUUAGUGCCGUAGCUAACGCAUUAAGCACUCCGCCUGGGGAGUACGACCGCAAGGUUG
rnacentral:rRNA from 1 species